rnacentral:misc_RNA from 1 species
GAUGAAGAACGUAGCGAAAUGCGAUAAGUAGUGUGAAUUGCAGAAUUCAGUGAAUCAUCGAAUCUUUGAACGCACAUUGCGCCCUUUGGUAUUCCUUAGGGCAUGCCUGUUCGAGCGUCAUUUAAACCUUCAAGCUAAGCUUGGUGUUGGGUGACUGUCCGCUUCACGGCGGACUCGCCUCAAAAUUAUUGGCGGCCGGUACAUUGGCUUCGAGCGCAGCAGAAACGCGAACUCGGGCCCGUCGCAUUGGCUCCCAGAAGCUAUCUUCACAAUUUUGACCUCGGAUCAGGUAGGGAUACCCGCUGAACUUAAGCAUAUCAAUAAGCGGAGGA